UACGGAGGGGGCUAGCGUUGUUCGGAAUUACUGGGCGUAAAGCGCACGUAGGCGGCUUUGUAAGUUAGAGGUGAAAGCCUGGGGCUCAACUCCAGAACUGCCUUUAAGACUGCAUCGCUUGAAUCAUGGAGAGGCGGGUGGAAUUCCGAGUGUAGAGGUGAAAUUCGUAGAUAUUCGGAAGAACACCAGUGGCGAGGGCGGCCCGCUGGACAUGUAUUGACGCUGAGGUGCGAAAGCGUGGGGAGCAAACAGG
rnacentral:rRNA from 1 species